ensembl:lncRNA
GCGGCGAUUUUCUCCCCGAGGGGUGAGCGGGCCGGGCCGCGCGGCAUAGCCGCGGCGCUCAGGCUGAAGGAGAAAAGGAGAAGGGUAAAGCCCAGCGCGGCGGCGGCCCACGUGCCGCCCACGACAGGCAGGGAACCGGGGAGGGAGCCGUACCUCCAAACAUGUGCGGCGAGAGGUGAGCUGGUAAGGAGCCGAUCACCAGGCGCGGCCCGCCGGGGCCCCCGCCCCCCGGCCCCCCCCCCCCGCCGGCCGGUCUCUGCCGCCGCCGCCGUCCUCCGGGCUGCUGUGCACCGAGUCCUGCGAGCCGUACGGGCCGCUGCUGCUGUUGGGGAUGCUGAACGAGGACUGAGCCGCUCGGGCCGCCGACGCCACGCUCCCUACGGCCCCGCCGAGGGAGCGACUGCGCGGGGCCGCCGAGGCCGCCGCGGCGCCGCCCGAGGCGCUGGGCUGGUNAGGGCGGUCGGCGCCCGGAGCGCUCUUGUGUUCGGGGUCGGCGGGCGAGACCGGCGGCCUGCGGGAGGUCGCGGGAAACGAGGAGAAGCGGAGAGGAAGGAGGUCGGGCUGCGGCGGACGCUGCUCGCUAGCUCCGGCGGGAGGGGCGGCUCAGGUGGCUGUGCAGCUCCCGCUGGUUUCGGUUCUGGUGCGCCGCGACGGAUCGCUGCCGCUCUCUGCCGCCGUCGCCGCUCUCUGCGCCCCGGGCCUCGGUACCGCCUCCUCCCGGGCGGCCGCAGCUACCGCCGCCAUCCUCCGGCUCACACGGCGGCCCGCGGGGCGCGCCCCCUCCCUCACCGCGGGGCCUAAGCCGAUUGGAGGGACGGAGCCCCUCGGGGCGCCAACCAGAAGGCGGCUCCUCCUCUCGCACGUGGCCCUGGGACCCUGAAUUAGACCGCGUCUCCAAACUUCACGUUCUCCCAGCUGGGGCUGGGAUUGACUCUGCUGUGGAUCCGGAGCCUCCAGUUUGGGCGGGUGUUAACCUCCUCGUUGGUGUUACUCAGAGUGUGUCUUUUAGAUAAAACAGACGUUCAGCAACGUUGAUGAUAAAAGACUAAGAACCGCAAAAACAUAAGAAAUAACCAAGAAGGCAGAAGUCAACUCCAUCUUAAUUAGAUUUACCCCGUAAAACUGACCGUGGAAGAAGCGCAGUUGGAAGAACUAAAGAUAAUCAAUCCAGCGUGACCAUCGGUUGUAAGGCAGAAACCGCGGUGCAGAAAAAGCUGCACCUGAUUUAGGAGAUCUGGGGUCUAGGUCUGGGAUCAGAACUAAAUUACGUGUCGUGAGCAAACUUGACCUUUUCGGACUUUAGUUUCCUGACCUGGGAUGUUUGUAUUAAAUCCCUGGGGCUCUGACGGCUUUGAAAUCCUGUAAUUUCUCUGGGGGCACCUGGCUGGCUCAGUCAGUAGAGCCUGAGACUCGAUAUUUGGGUUGGUAGAGAUUAAUGAAAUAAAUAAGCUUUAAAAAUAAUAAAAUCCUAUAAUUUCUCUAAAAUGGAAUUUAACAAAAUUCUCCUCAGUUCAUUUCUUUUUUUUUUUAAAGAUUUUUUAUUUAUUUAUAAGACAGAGAUAGAGACAGCCAGCGAGAGAGGGAACACAAGCAGGGGGAGUGGGAGAGGAAGAAGCAGGCUCAUAGCAGAGGAGCCUGACGUGGGGCUCGAUCCCAUAACGCCGGGAUCACGCCCUGAGCCGAAGGCAGACGCUUAACCGCUCUGCCACCCAGGCGCCCCUCCUCAGUUCAUUUCUAACUGUGAUGUAGUAUCUUGGUGGCAGAACAUGGUGUGGAUAUCCAUUUUGAAAAUGCAUGAAGUGUCCAUUAUGUGAAAAUAAUAGCAACUGGUAUUUUUGUACAAACUGCAAAAAUAAAUACCUUAUUGUUUUAACACAUUUGUAAUAUCAUUAAUGAUUUUCAUCAUUCAAGUAUGAGAAUUAAGUUUUCAAACAAGUGAAGAAUAUAUGUAUAGCUAUAGAUGUAUUGU